AACUUUCAACAACGGAUCUCUUGGCUCUCGCAUCGAUGAAGAACGCAGCGAAAGGCGAUAAGUAAUGUGAAUUGCAGAAUUCAGUGAAUCAUCGAAUCUUUGAACGCACCUUGCACCCUUUGGCAUUCCGAAGGGUAUGCUCGUUUGAGUGUCAUUGUACUCUCAUGCUCCCGAUGCUUUUAGAUCGGGAGUGGUGGACUCGGGUGUUGCUCCUUUACUGUGGCUCACCUCAAAUGCAGUAGUGCAACUCUUGGUUGGACAUAGUACUGCGUGAUAAGUUUCUUCGCCGGCGCCUCAUUAGAGGGUGGCCAAUCGGGAGCUCUGUGCUUCAAGCGGUCUUCGGACAACAUCUGAAAACUUGACCUCAAAUCGAGUAGGACUACCCGCUGAACUUAUGCAUAUCAAUGAGCGGAGGCU
rnacentral:misc_RNA from 1 species